rnacentral:rRNA from 1 species
GACGAACGCUGGCGGCGUGCCUAAUACAUGCAAGUCGAACGCAGUGGGGACGGGUGAGUAACACGUGGGUAACCUCCCAUCAGAGGGGAUAACACUUGGAAACAGGUGCUAAACCGAUACUGAUGGAUGGACCCGCGGUGCAUUAGCUAGUUGGUGCGGUAACGGCUCACCAAGGCCACGAUGCAUAGCCGGCCGGGGGGGGGGAUCGGCCACAUGGGGACGGGGACACGGCCCGGACUCCUCCGGGAGGCAGCAGGAGGGAAUCUUCGGCAAUGGACGAAAGUCUGACCGAGCAACGCGGCGGGAGGGAAAAAGGUUUUCGGAUCUUAAAACUCUUUUGUUAGAGAAGCGGUAUCUAACCAGAAAGCCACGGCUAACUACGUGCCAGCAGCCGCGGUAAUUC